UACAGAGGGUGCAAGCGUUGUUCGGAAUUAUUGGGCGUAAAGCGCGUGUAGGCGGCUUGGCAAGUCGGGUGUGAAAUCCCUCAGCUCAACUGAGGAAGUGCGCCCGAAACUGCUUUGCUUGAGUGCCAGAGAGGAUGGCGGAAUUCCCCAAGUAGAGGUGAAAUUCGUAGAUAUGGGGAGGAACACCGGUGGCGAAGGCGGCAUCCUGGACCAUAACUGACGCUGAGGCGCGAAAGCGUGGGGAGCGAACAGG
rnacentral:rRNA from 1 species